rnacentral:rRNA from 1 species
UACCAUGCAGUCGAGCGGAUGACGGGAGCUUGCUCCUUGAUUCAGCGGCGGACGGGUGAGUAACGCCUAGGAAUCUGCCUGGUAGUGGGGGACAACGUUUCGAAAGGAACGCUAAUACCGCAUACGUCCUACGGGAGAAAGCAGGGGACCUUCGGGCCUUGCGCUAUCAGAUGAGCCUAGGUCGGAUUAGCUAGUUGGUGAGGUAAUGGCUCACCAAGGCGACGAUCCGUAACUGGUCUGAGAGGAUGAUCAGUCACACUGGAACUGAGACACGGUCCAGACUCCUACGGGAGGCAGCAGUGGGGAAUAUUGGACAAUGGGCGAAAGCCUGAUCCAGCCAUGCCGCGUGUGUGAAGAAGGUCUUCGGAUUGUAAAGCACUUUAAGUUGGGAGGAAGGGCAGUAAGUUAAUACCUUGCUGUUUUGACGUUACCGACAGAAUAAGCACCGGCUAACUCUGUGCCAGCAGCCGCGGUAAUACAGAGGGUGCAAGCGUUAAUCGGAAUUACUGGGCGUAAAGCGCGCGUAGGUGGUUUGUUAAGUUGAGAUGUGAAAGCCCCGGGCUCAACCUGGGAACUGCAUCCAAAACUGGCAAGCUAGAGUACGGUAGAG